rnacentral:rRNA from 1 species
AUUGAACGCUGGCGGCAUGCUUUACACAUGCAAGUCGAACGGUAACAGGCCGCAAGGUGCUGACGAGUGGCGAACGGGUGAGUAAUGCAUCGGAACGUGCCCAGUCGUGGGGGAUAACGCAGCGAAAGCUGCGCUAAUACCGCAUACGAUCUAUGGAUGAAAGCGGGGGACCGAAAGGCCUCGCGCGAUUGGAGCGGCCGAUGUCAGAUUAGGUAGUUGGUGGGGGAAAGGCCCACCAAGCCAACGAUAUGUAGCUGGUCUGAGAGGACGACCAGCAACACUGGGACUGAGACACGGCCCAGACUCCUACGGGAGGCAGCAGUGGGGAAUUUUGGACAAUGGGCGCAAGCCUGAUCCAGCAAUGCCGCGUGAAGGAAGAAGGCCUUCGGGUUGUAAACUGCUUUUGUACGGAACGAGACGGUACGGGUUAAUACCCUGGGCUAAUGACGGUACCGGAAGAAUAAGCACCGGCUAACUACGUGCCAGCAGCCGCCGCAGUAA